rfam:Ornithorhynchus anatinus chromosome 1, whole genome shotgun sequence.
CCCCUUUCAGGUUCACACCUGGAGAGUUUCCAGUACUCUACUAGUCUUGGCUACGGGAGGGAGAGUCAUGCAGAGGCCUACCCAUUCCAUUCCUAGGUUGGCCAGUGGCUAGUGAAUGGAAGGCAAUCGGCUACAAGU